rnacentral:rRNA from 1 species
AAUCAACGCUGGCGGCGUGCCUAACGCAUGCAAGUCGAGCGAGAAAAGGGGGGCAACUCCCUGAGUACAGCGGCGCACGGGUGAGUAACACGUGGGUAAUCUGCCCUGGAGUGGGGAAUAACACCGGGAAGCCGGUGCUAAUACCGCAUACGAUAGCGAGGUCUGCGGAUUUCGUUAUGAAAGGAGCAAUUCGCUCCAGGAGGAGCCCGCGGCUGAUUAGCUAGUUGGUGAGGUAAUGGCUCACCAAGGCAACGAUCAGUAUCCGGUCUGAGAGGACGGUCGGACACACUGGAACUGAGACACGGUCCAGACUCCUACGGGAGGCAGCAGUGGGGAAUUUUUGGCAAUGGGGGCAACCCUGACCAAGCAACGCCGCGUGGGUGAUGAAGUCUCUUGGGACGUAAAACCCUUUCGACGGGGAAGAAACCGCAAGGUUGACGGUACCCGUAGAAGAAGCCCCGGCUAACUCCGUGCCAGCCGCCGCCGUAAGAC